rnacentral:rRNA from 1 species
GUUUAGGGGCGCUUCUUCUGGGCAAGGGAGAGCGAUAAACAGAAGUACCACAUGGUUAGGUGGACGGAGAUCUGUAAGCCUCGCGAUCAAGGCGGACUUGGGAUCAUGUCCUCCAAACGCAUGAACAUCGCCCUCCUGGCUAGGUGGCUUUGGUGGAUUGCAAACAGAGAGGGUGGCUUGUGGCUGCGCAUCAUCCAGCAAAAAUACCUACAUGGCCGGCCUCUCGCCUUCUACCAACAGUCUGGUGGCUCCUAG